CUUUGACUGGCUAGAGACGCUGGCGGCGUGCCUAAUACAUGCAAGUCGAGCGCAGGAAACUGACGGAACUCUUCGGAGGGAAGGCAGUGGAAUGAGCGGCGGACGGGUGAGUAACACGUAAGGAACCUGCCUCAAGGAUUGGGAUAACUCCGAGAAAUCGGAGCUAAUACCGGAUAGUUCAACGGACCGCAUGGUCCGCUGAUGAAAGGCGCUUCGGCGUCACCUUGAGAUGGCCUUGCGGUGCAUUAGCUAGUUGGUGGGGUAACGGCCCACCAAGGCGACGAUGCAUAGCCGACCUGAGAGGGUGAUCGGCCACACUGGGACUGAGACACGGCCCAGACUCCUACGGGAGGCAGCAGUAGGGAAUCUUCCACAAUGGACGAAAGUCUGAUGGAGCAACGCCGCGUGAGUGAUGAAGGUUUUCGGAUCGUAAAACUCUGUUGUAAGGGAAGAACACGUACGAGAGGGAAUGCUCGUACCUUGACGGUACCUUACGAGAAAGCCACGGCUAACUACGUGCCAGCCGCCGCGGUAAU
rnacentral:rRNA from 1 species